CCGUCGGUAGCAGCUCAGUUGGCAGAGCGGUGGACUGUAGAUCCAUAGGUCGCUGGUUCGAAUCCGGCUCGACGGA
rnacentral:tRNA from 1 species